AUUUUGAAUUGUUUUAUUCAUAAUAUUUUUCAGACAAAGAGUUGAGAUAAUAGUUGAUGUUUGGGGUUGAUCCUCUCGAGAGAAAAAUCAACCCUGACAUUGCACACAAGGUGGAUAUGGAUUUAAAAAAGUGCCAUAAAACACUUAUUAUGAAUGAUCCUUCCGCAGGUUCACCUACGGAAA
rnacentral:misc_RNA from 1 species